UACGGGGGGGGGCAAGCGUUGUUCGGAAUUACUGGGCGUAAAGGGCUCGUAGGUGGCCAACUAAGUCGGACGUGAAAUCCCUCGGCUUAACCGGGGAACUGCGUCCGAUACUGGUUGGCUUGAGUUUGGGAGAGGGAUGCGGAAUUCCAGGUGUAGCGGUGAAAUGCGUAGAUAUCUGGAGGAACACCGGUGGCGAAGGCGGGUCUCUGGGCAGUAACUGACGCUGAGGAGCGAAAGCGUGGGGAGCGAACAGG
rnacentral:rRNA from 1 species